rnacentral:rRNA from 16 species
CGUAAACCCAAGGGUUCCUGAUCAACGCUAAUCGGAUCAGGGUUAGUCGAGACCUAAGGUGUACCCGGUGAGGCCGGGGAAGCCGAUGGCAAAGCGGUUAAAUAUUCCGCUACCGAAGCCAACGUAUGGCUAAGGCGUGACGCAGAAGUGACACUCCCGCGUGCUGACGAAUGCACGUUAAAGGGCGUAGGCCGGGGGGCAGGCAAAUCCGCCUCCCAUUA